rnacentral:rRNA from 1 species
GAGGAAGGUGGGGAUGACGUCAAAUCAUCAUGCCCUUUAUGUACCUGGGCUACAAACGUACUACAAUGGCCAAUACAAAGAGAUGCGAAGCGGUGACGUGGAGCGAACCUCAGAAAGUUGGUCUCAGUUCAGAUUGAAGUCUGCAACUCGACUUCAUGAAGGCGGAAUCGCUAGUAAUCGCGGGUCAGCAGACCGCGGUGAAUACGUUCCCGGGUUUU